AUCCCCUGUCCCUUUUAAUUUGCUCGUGAACAGAGCCAUAUGGACUAGUGACAGUGGCAGCGAUAGUGAAGUAGAUUAUGAAGCACACAAUUCAACAAGCACACUUCAUACUGCCACCCAGUAUCAAAUCAUAUCAAGCACGAGGCAAAAGAUAGUUAUAAAGGUGCAAAUGCACUGCAGCAAAUGCCAAAGGAAGGCCUUUACAAUUGCAUUAAUUGCAGAUGGUGUGACUUCGGUGUGCCUUCAAGGGGCAGAACGAGAUCAACUGGUGGUUACCGGAUAUGGGGUUGAUGCGGUUGAUUUGGCUAGGGCGUUAAGGAAGAAACUUCACCUUGCCUACAUCUUAAGUGUGGUAAAGAUCUAAAGAAAAAAGGAAGAUGAAAUUGUUGCACGAGGUUUUUCAUUUCAAAGCUCAAAAUUGUCUUCUCAACUAGCUAGUACGUGUUACUACAUGCCCAUAUUGGUUUAAGGAUUAUUGUUAGUCUUGGCCAUGUGGAAUUCUAAGUUGGUUCGUUGUUAAAGUGUUUUCUUUUCCCUAAACAAGCCUCUUAUGUGUUGAAUAAUCAGAAGAAUAAGGAACUUUUAUUUUGUCAGUUUCAUAUUUUGUUGCUGGAAUCUUAAAUUCUCUAAUAGCUCUAACAAUUUAAUGUUUUCAUUUCCUCCUAAAUCCUCCAAAGAAGUUGAUGAUAAUCUUUUUGAGGAAUGUGGUGCUAUGUAGACUCAGUAACUUAUUCAGGACAGUCGCCAUGCUAGGAUCCAGAAAUCUGUCGACGCUGUCAUGGAUCAUUUAGCCUCCAUGACCACCCAUAAUUAUAAACCCUCUGUCUUGUUUUUACCUAGUCAACCCAUCCCUGUUCGGAUCUUUAUAUGUGCGAUUGAGAUCCAAAGAAAAUAUAAAAGUUUGUGCUUGAGAAAGGAUAAUGAAAAUGAGAGAAGGAUGAGAUGAAAAGUUUUGUGUUCCGUCAGUGUGGUCGGUGCUUGUAUGUCGAGAGUGGACGUGUGGAAGUGGAAUUUUUCUUUUUCUUCUUCCACAUAGAUGCUAUUAUUGAGACCUAAUAAUUUAAAGUUGAGAUUUAUUAUUGGGUCAAAGUGUAGUAUGUACAUGCUGUUGCUUCUUUUACAUUAGAACAAGUGGACUGUAAACACCUUUU